UCGGGAAUCUUCCACAAUGGGCGAAAGCCUGAUGGAGCGACGCCGCGUGAGUGAUGAAGGUCUUCGGAUCGUAAAGCUCUGUUACCAGGGACGAAACAAGACGGUACCUGGGGAGGAAGCCACGGCUAACUACGUGCCAGCAGCCGCGGUAAUACGUAGGUGGCGAGCGUUGUCCGGAAUUAUUGGGCGUAAAGGGCGCGUAGGCGGUUGUUUAAGUCAGAUGUGAAAGCCCCCGGCUCAACUGGGGAGAGCCAUCUGAUACUGGGCGACUAGAGUGCAGGAGAGGAAAGUGGAAUUCCAUGUGUAGCGGUGAAAUGCGUAGAUAUAUGGAGGAACACCAGUGGCGAAGGCGGCUUUCUGGACUGCAACUGACGCUGAGGCGCGAAAGCUGGGGGAGCAAACGGG
rnacentral:rRNA from 1 species